UGCUGAGGAAACUUGGGUGAUGCCCAGCAGAUUUGCAGGUUGCGGAGUGGAGAGACAGGGGAGCGGAGGGGAAGAGAUCUAGAGGCUGAAGAAAGAGGAAGAAACGUAACUCGGUGGUUCUUAACUGGGAGUGGCUGUACCCACCAGCGGAGGGUGAUGUCUGGAGACAGAUCGAUCUAGUCGUCACAACAGGGGGAGGAGGUGCUACUGGCCUCUCGUGGGUCAAGGCCAAGGAUGCGGCUAAGCGCCCCACAGUGCCCAGGACAGCCCACCAUACGGAAUGGCCCGGCCACAAAUGUCAGCAGAAGCCCUCACGAGAGGGCCUUGGUACCAAAGACUGUACGUCCCAGACCGCCUCCCUUUCGAUAACCGCUGUCUAACCUUUCCUCUGGUGGUGACAUAGUGGCUUGUGCAGCUUUAGGAGGUUCCAGGUACCUGGGCGCGGUGGGUGGCG
rnacentral:lncRNA from 1 species